rnacentral:rRNA from 1 species
GACGAACGCUGGCGGCGUGCUUAACACAUGCAAGUCGAGCGGUAAGGCCCUUCGGGGUACACGAGCGGCGAACGGGUGAGUAACACGUGGUGAUCUGCCUCGUACUUCGGGAUAAGCCUGGGAAACUGGGUCUAAUACCGGAUAUGACCGCAUGCUGCAUGGUGUGUGGUGGAAAGAUUUAUCGGUGCGAGAUGGGCCCGCGGCCUAUCAGCUUGUUGGUGGGGUAAUGGCCUACCAAGGCGACGACGGGUAGCCGACCUGAGAGGGUGACCGGCCACACUGGGACUGAGACACGGCCCAGACUCCUACGGGAGGCAGCAGUGGGGAAUAUUGCACAAUGGGCGGAAGCCUGAUGCAGCGACGCCGCGUGAGGGAUGACGGCCUUCGGGUUGUAAACCUCUUUCGACAGGGACGAAGCGGAAGUGACGGUACCUGUAGAAGAAGCACCGGCCAACUACGUGCCAGCCGC